UACGUAGGGUGCAAGCGUUAAUCGGAAUUACUGGGCGUAAAGCGUGCGCAGGCGGUUGGGCAAGACCGAUGUGAAAUCCCCGGGCUUAACCUGGGAAUGGCAUUGGUGACUGCACGGCUAGAGUGUGUCAGAGGGGGGUAGAAUUCCACGUGUAGCAGCGAAAUGCGUAGAGAUGUGGAGGAAUACCGAUGGCGAAGGCAGCCCCCUGGGAUAACACUGACGCUCAUGCACGAAAGCGUGGGGAGCAAACAGG
rnacentral:rRNA from 1 species